rnacentral:rRNA from 1 species
UGACCUGCCCACUGAUAAUAUAAAUUUAAUGGCCGCGGUAUUAAUAACCGUGCAAAGGUAGCAUAAUCAUUAGUCUUUUAAUUAAAGGCUUGUAUGAAUGGUUGGACAAAAGGAAAGCUGUCUUCUUUAAUAUAAAUUGAAUUUAACUUUUAGGUGAAAAGGCUUAAAUAUUUCAGAGGGACGAUAAGACCCUAUAAAGCUUUAUAUAAAAUAAAUUUUAGAUUGAAGUUUUUUUUAAAGAUUAAAAUUUAUACUUAUAUUUUGUUGGGGCAACAGAAGUAUAAUUAUUAAUAACUGCUUAGUUUAUAAACAGGUAUAUUUGUGUUAUUAAGUGAUCCUUAUUUAGAGAUUUCAAGAUUAAGUUACUUUAGGGAUAACAGCGUAAUUUUUUUAGAGAGUUCAUAUCGAAAAAAAAGUUUACGACCUCGAUGUUGAAUUAAAAUUUCUAUAUAGUGCAGCUAUUAUAUAAGAGGGUCUGUUCGACCUUUAAUUUUUUACAUGAUUUGAGUUCAGACCGGCGUGAGCC